rnacentral:rRNA from 1 species
AGUGGCAAACGGGUGAGUAACACGUAGAUAACUUGCCUCGGAGUCGGGAAUAGCUCGUCGAAAGACGGGGUAAUAUCCGAUAGUCUCUAUUUACUUUUAGUGUUUUAGAGUAAAGCUUUUGUGCUCCGAGAGAGGUCUGCGUCCUAUCAGCUAGUUGGUGAGGUAAUGGCUCACCAAGGCUAAGACGGGUAGCUGGUGUGAGAGCACGGUCAGCCACCAUGGAACUGAGACACGGUCCAUACUCCUACGGGAGGCAGCAAUUAGGAAUCUUGCGCAAUGGGGGCAACCCUGACGCAGCGACACAGCGUGGAGGAUGAAGGUCUUCGGAUUGUAAACUCCUUUUAUAUGGGAAGAAUAGAUGACUGUACCAUAUGAAUAAGGACCUGCUAACUACGUGCCAGAAGCAUCGGUGAUGCGUAGGGUCCGAACGUUAUCCGGAUUUAUUGGGUGUAUAGAGAUGCGUAGGCGGUUUGAUAAGUCUUGAGUUAAAGACCUCGGCUUAACCGAGGAAAAGCUUUCGAAACUAUCAGACUUGAGGCAUAGAGGGGUGAACGGAACUCCGAGUGGAGUGGUGAAAUACGUUGAUAUUCGGAAGAACAUCAGUGGCGAAGGCGGUUCACUGGCUAUUGCCUGACGCUCAGGCUCGAAAGCGUGGGUAGCAAAACGGAUUAGAUACCCGUGUAGUCCACGCUGUAAACUAUGGAUGCUAGGUGUUUGGUACAACUGUUUUUAACCUUCGGGUUUUAAACGGAAGUGCUGAGUGCCGCAGCUAACGCGUUAAGCAUCCCACCUGGGAAGUACGGCCGCAAGGCUAAAACUCAAAUGAAUUGGCGGGGACCCGCACAAGCGGAGGAGCGCGUG